rnacentral:rRNA from 1 species
GACGAACGCUGGCGGCGUGCCUAAUACAUGCAAGUAGAACGCUGAAGGAGGAGCUUGCUUCUCUGGAUGAGUUGCGAACGGGUGAGUAACGCGUAGGUAACCUGCCUGGUAGCGGGGGAUAACUAUUGGAAACGAUAGCUAAUACCGCAUAAUAGUAGAUGUUGCAUGACAUUUGCUUAAAAGGUGCAAUUGCAUCACUACCAGAUGGACCUGCGUUGUAUUAGCUAGUUGGUGGGGUAACGGCUCACCAAGGCGACGAUACAUAGCCGACCUGAGAGGGUGAUCGGCCACACUGGGACUGAGACACGGCCCAGACUCCUACGGGAGGCAGCAGUAGGGAAUCUUCGGCAAUGGACGGAAGUCUGACCGAGCAACGCCGCGUGAGUGAAGAAGGUUUUCGGAUCGUAAAGCUCUGUUGUAAGAGAAGAACGAGUGUGAGAGUGGAAAGUUCACACUGUAACGGUAUCUUACCAGAAAGGGACGGCUAACUACGUG